rnacentral:rRNA from 1 species
AACGAACGCUGGCGGCAUGCCUAACACAUGCAAGUCGAACGAGACCUUCGGGUCUAGUGGCGCACGGGUGAGUAACGCGUGGGAACCUGCCCUUAGGUUCGGAAUAACUCCCCGAAAGGGGUGCUAAUACCGGAUAAUGUCUUCGGACCAAAGAUUUAUCGCCUUUGGAUGGGCCCGCGUUGGAUUAGCUAGUUGGUAGGGUUAAAGCCUACCAAGGCGACGAUCCAUAGCUGGUCUGAGAGGAUGAUCAGCCACACUGGGACUGCGACACGGCCCAGACUCCUACGGGAGGCAGCAGUGGGGAAUAUUGGACAAUGGGCGAAAGCCUGAUCCAGCAAUGCCGCGUGAGUGAUGAAGGCCUUAGGGUUGUAAAGCUCUUUUACCCGGGAUGAUAAUGACAGUACCGGGAGAAUAAGCUCCGGCUAACUCCGUG